rnacentral:rRNA from 1 species
UACGUAGGGGGCAAGCGUUGUCCGGAAUUAUUGGGCGUAAAGAGCGCGCAGGCGGUCGUUCAAGUCGAGUGUGAAAGCCCCCGGCUCAACUGGGGAGGGUCACUCGAUACUGAUCGACUUGAAGGCGGGAGAGGGAAGCGGAAUUCCCGGUGUAGUGGUGAAAUGCGUAGAUAUCGGGAGGAACACCAGUGGCGAAGGCGGCUUUCUGGCCCGUUCUUGACGCUGAGGCGCGAAAGCUAGGGUAGCAAACGGG